rnacentral:lncRNA from 1 species
AGGUGAGGAGUUCCUGGAAGAGGAAUCUGACAGCGGCCUGCCUGGUCGAGCCUACUUUCCUUCCUGAGGGCCUUUCUGACAGGGAUCAGCAUUGGGUCUAUAGGAUUUCCUGUGGCGAACUAGACAAAGAUCUUAAAGCUGGGUUCUCCUGCUGUAUGCACUGUGAUGGGACCAGAUCUCUGGCCUACCACAGGAAUGGAUGAUCUGCCUAGAAACCACCACUGUGCAAUGCCAGACUUACAAGAUGAAUUAUUUCAGAGAAACAAAAGAAAGAUGUUUCUUCAAGAAGAAGAAAUAUUUUGAUGAAUUACUGUGGUUAUCAGAGGAAAUAUCACUUCCAUUAGUACAAUGUAUGUGUCUGCAAUCUAACAAUAAAGGAUACAGAAUCCAACAAUACAGAACUGCUUUGUGUGGUUCUGAUUGUGGGUCUUUAAGGUACUGCCACUGUAAAAUGAAACAACGUGUGACGGAAUGGAGUAUGAAAAAGCAUUCUGGAGAGGAAAUGAGAGGGUGCCAGGGAGGCUUUCAGGAUUAA